AAGAGCGUUGCUCAUUUCGACGAAACGAGAAACAAGACUGGGGGAGAGAAAUAAAAGUGUCCCGUCGAUCCAACUUGUCCCUCUCGUUCCCGCCGUUGCGACCCUUGUCAAUGACUUAAGCUUUCGCCUAUAACUGCGUACGACUACGGCACCAAAUCUUGAGGAAGUGUUCCGUCACAGCCGCAUCCACCAACCGGGGCUCCGAAUCUGAUCAUACACUAUCAAUGUAACUCCAAGGAGAAGAAGAUCGUCCAUGAGCGUCAUCACUGUCGUCAUCGACCUCCGUCAAAUCUUAAGCUUUCACCCUGAACCUCAUGCCUCCUCACAUAUUCGAACGGGCAGAAAUAGUGUGGUUUGUUAAGUCGUAAUUGUAACUGAGAGGAAAUCGUCUUCUCUUUGCUCACAACAUAGUCUCUCCAUUCUCCAGAAAAUGGACUAAUGAGGUAAUUUCUCUCUAUAGAUGGGUACUUCACAAAAGUUUCAUGCGUCGUUUCCGUUGAGUUCGUACAUAUAGAGGGGAGAUUAUCUUUGCUUGGUGAAAGAAUACCCCAUCACACUUUUUAAAGUGUAUAUAUCCCUUCACAC
rnacentral:lncRNA from 1 species